GUUGUAUAGUCAAGUAAUUAAGUGCAUGUGGUGGAUGCCUUGGCAGUCAGAGGCGAUGAAAGACGUGAUAGCCUGCGAAAAGCUUCGGGGAGGCGGCAAAUAUCCUGUGAUCCGGAGAUGUCUGAAUGGGGAAACCCACUUACCAUAAGGUAGGUAUUGCAUGAUGAAUACAUAGUCAUGCAAGGCGAACGAGGGGAAGUGAAACAUCUCAGUACCCUCAGGAAAAGAAAUCAAUUGAGAUUCCCUCAGUAGCGGCGAGCGAACGGGGAUCAGCCCAUUAAGUUAUGUGUGUUUUAGCGGAAUGCUCUGGGAAGUGCAACCGUAGAGGGUGAUAGUCCCGUACACGAAAGGGCACACAUAAUGAUGACGAGUAGGGCGAGGCACGUGAAACCUUGUCUGAAUAUGGGGGGACCAUCCUCCAAGGCUAAAUACUCCUGACUGACCGAUAGUGAACCAGUACCGUGAGGGAAAGGCGAAAAGAACCCCUGUGAGGGGAGUGAAAUAGAUCCUGAAACCGCAUGCAUACAAGCAGUGGGAGCA
rnacentral:rRNA from 1 species